rnacentral:lncRNA from 1 species
GCGGUUAGUAAAUUUUUUAUGUUUUUAUAUAUGUAUAAAUAUUAUCAUCUUACGAUAUGUCUUCUCAUCCUAAGAAUUUCAUAUCUAAAAAUGUGUCUUAUCAUCCUAAGAAUGUGUUUUUCAUAUGUCUUUUCAUCUUAAUAAUUUUAUGGUUAAAACAUUUUUAUGCAUCAAUUUGUUAUAUGUGCUAUUUAUUCAGUAAAUCACUAGUACAUGUAAAUUGAAGAGAACUAUUAGCGAUUUAAGUGAAUUUUUAGAACCAUUUAAGUGAA